rnacentral:lncRNA from 14 species
UGAGAAUAUACAUGGUAUUUAUCUGUCUCUGUACUUUUCUGCUUUCUGUAAGAAAGCGCUGGCACCUGUGGCAGGCAGAUUGGUAAAAAGGAGCUUGGUACCUCUGAUGUACAGAAUGAAAGCUGAGAUAUCAGAUAGGUUGUCCCCAAAGGAUCAAUCCUUUAAUCCAAACAAUCCAAAGGGGAGGAGACUACAAUGACCACACCUGGUACUGAAACUACCACAGUGAUACCUGAAGCAACUUGUGCUAUUAUCGAAGAUAUAAAAGACUCUAAGAACAACUCAAACAUGGCUGAAGUUUUCCUGAAAAAUCUCACAAAACACACAGAAUAUAUUAUUCUGGGGCAUGACAGAGGCAGAACUGUGAGUUUCAGCGACCGUUCAGUAGAGCUUCCGAAAUGCCGGAAUUACACUGUCCAAGUUAAAAAUGGCAGGUGUUCAGAUGGUACUUCUUCUUCUUUUCUUGUUCCAGAAGUCCCAAGGGAAUCUCUUAAAGUCGAGGACCCAACCAACACAUCUGCCUUGUUAUGCUGGAGUAGCUCACUUGCCUGUGCUAACGUGACUGUCACCUGCAAUGGGACAUCACAUUCAUUCCAUCCAAUGCAUUCUGAACGUGGGUUGUUUAUUUAUUUCUCUUUAAAAGCAUUGUUGAUGUUGUGUUUUGGUGAAAGACUG